GAUGAACGCUGGCGGCGUGCCUAAUACAUGCAAGUCGAGCGAACGGACGAGAAGCUUGCUUCUCUGAUGUUAGCGGCGGACGGGUGAGUAACACGUGGAUAACCUACCUAUAUGACUGGGAUAACUUCGGGAAACCGGAGCUAAUACCGGAUAAUAUUUUGAACCGCAUGGUUCAAAAGUGAAAGACGGUCUUGCUGUCACUUAUAGAUGGAUCCGCGCUGCAUUAGCUAGUUGGUAAGGUAACGGCUUACCAAGGCAACGAUGCAUAGCCGACCUGAGAGGAUGAUCGGCCACACUGGAACUGAGACACGGUCCAGACUCCUACGGGAGGCAGCAGUAGGGAAUCUUCCGCAAUGGGCGAAAGCCUGACGGAGCAACGCCGCGUGAGUGAUGAAGGUCUUCGGAUCGUAAAACUCUGUUAUUAGGGAAGAACAUAUGUGGAAGUAACUGUGCACAUCUUGACGGUACCUAAUCAGAAAGCCACGGCUAACUACGUG
rnacentral:rRNA from 1 species